CUGAAGAGCCUCUUGAAUCGACACUGAACCAUUCUCACCCUGUGGAGACACAGAAGUCUUAUUUUGCAAUAGUUUGACAGACUCUGUCACUAUGAACUGUGAUGGUUUGCGUGAAGAUUCAUCAGAAUUGUUCCUUUUGCGUUCUAUGGAAAACAACAGCAUACAGCUACUGAUUCAGAAAUUCAGGAGGAGAAAUAGUGACCUUGGAUCUUGGCCUGAUUAUACACUGGAAUGAGGUGGUUGUGGUCAGACGGUGGGCCGGCGGGACGCUCCAGGGUCGGGUCACAUAAGGGCAGGACAACAGAUGCCAAACUCUGCCCCACCUCCUUAGAAUUAAAG